UACGGAGGGUGCAAGCGUUAUCCGGAUUCACUGGGUUUAAAGGGUGCGUAGGCGGGUAGGUAAGUCAGUGGUGAAAUCCUGGAGCUCAACUCCAGAACUGCCAUUGAUACUAUCUAUCUUGAAUAUUGUGGAGGUAAGCGGAAUAUGUCAUGUAGCGGUGAAAUGCUUAGAUAUGACAUAGAACACCCAUUGCGAAGGCAGCUUACUACGCAUAUAUUGACGCUGAGGCACGAAAGCGUGGGGAUCAAACAGGAUUAGAUACCCUGGUAGUCCACGCCCUAAACGAUGGAUACUCGACAUACGCGAUACACUGUGUGUGUCUGAGCGAAAGCAUUAAGUAUCCCACCUGGGAAGUACGUUCGCAAGAAUGAAACUCAAAGGAAUUGGCGGGGGUCCGCACAAGCGGUGGAGUAUGUGGUUUAAUUCGAUGAUACGCGAGGAACCUUACCUGGGCUAGAAUGCUGGGAGACCGCUAGUGAAAGCUAGUUUUGUAGCAAUACACUGCCAGUAAGGUGCUGCAUGGCCGUCGUCAGCUCGUGCCGUGAGGUGUUGGGUUAAGUCCCGCAACGAGCGCAACCCCUAUCUUUAGUUGCCAACAGGUAAUGCUGGGAACUCUAAAGAAACUGCCGCCGUAAGGUGUGAGGAAGGGGGGGAUGAUGUCAGGUCAUCAUGGCCUUUAUGCCCAGGGCUACACACGUACUACAAUGGGGGAGACAAAGGGCUGCAACAUAGCGAUAUGAAGCCAAUCCCAAAAACUCCCUCUCAGUUCAGAUUGCAGGCUGCAACUCGCCUGCAUGAAGCUGGAAUCGCUAGUAAUCGUAUAUCAGCAAUGAUACGGUGAAUACGUUCCCGGACCU
rnacentral:rRNA from 1 species